rnacentral:rRNA from 1 species
GGACGGCAGCACAGAGAAGCUUGCUUCUUGGGUGGCGAGUGGCGAACGGGUGAGUAACAUAUCGGAACGUACCGAGUAAUGGGGGAUAACUAAUCGAAAGAUUAGCUAAUACCGCAUAUUCUCUGAGGAGGAAAGCAGGGGACCUUCGGGCCUUGCGUUAUUCGAGCGGCCGAUAUCUGAUUAGCUAGUUGGUGGGGUAAAGGCCUACCAAGGCGACGAUCAGUAGCGGGUCUGAGAGGAUGAUCCGCCACACUGGGACUGAGACACGGCCCAGACUCCUACGGGAGGCAGCAGUUGGGAAUUUUGGACAAUGGGCGCAAGCUGAUCCAGCCAUGCCGCGUGUCUGAAGAAGCCUUCGGGUUGUAAAGGACUUUUGUCAGGGAAGAAAAGGCUGUUGCUAAUAUCGACAGCUGAUGACGGUACCUGAAGAAUAAGCACCGGCUAACUACGUGCCAGCAGCCGCGGUAAUACGUAGGGUGCGAGCGUUAAUCGGAAUUACUGGGCGUAAAGCGAGCGCAGACGGUUACUUAAGCAGGAUGUGAAAUCCCCGGGCUCAACCUGGGAACUGCGUUCUGAACUGGGUGACUAGAGUGUGUCAGAGGGAGGUAGAAUUCCACGUGUAGCAGUGAAAUGCGUAGAGAUGUGGAGGAAUACCGAUGGCGAAGGCAGCCUCCUGGGAUAACACUGACGUUCAUGCUCGAAAGCGUGGGUAGCAAACAGGAUUAGAUACCCUGGUAGUCCACGCCCUAAACGAUGUCAAUUAGCUGUUGGGCAACUUGAUUGCUUAGUAGCGUAGUAACGCGUG